rnacentral:rRNA from 1 species
ACAGCACUCUGCAAACACGAAAGUGGACGUAUAGGGUGUGACGCCUGCCCGGUGCUGGAAGGUUAAUUGAAGAUGUGAGAGCAUCGGAUCGAAGCCCCAGUAAACGGCGGCCGUAACUAUAACGGUCCUAAGGUAGCGAAAUUCCUUGUCGGGUAAGUUCCGACCCGCACGAAUGGCGUAACGAUGGCCACACUGUCUCCUCCCGAGACUCAGCGAAGUUGAAAUGGUUGUGAAGAUGCAAUCUCCCCGCUGCUAGACGGAAAGACCCCGUGAACCUUUACUGUAGCUUUGCAUUGGACUUUGAAGUCACUUGUGUAGGAUAGGUGGGAGGCUUAGAAGCAGAGACGCCAGUCUCUGUGGAGCCGUCCUUGAAAUACCACCCUGGUGUCUUUGAGGUUCUAACCCAGACCCGUAAUCCGGGUCGGGGACCGUGCAUGGUAGGCAGUUUGACUGGGGCGGUCUCCUCCCAAAGAGUAACGGAGGAGUUCGAAGGUUACCUAGGUCCGGUCGGAAAUCGGACUGAUAGUGCAAUGGCAAAAGGUAGCUUAACUGCGAGACCGACAAGUCGAGCAGGUGCGAAAGCAGGACAUAGUGAUCCGGUGGUUCUGUAUGGAAGGGCCAUCGCUCAACGGAUAAAAGGUACUCCGGGGAUAACAGGCUGAUUCCGCCCAAGAGUUCAUAUCGACGGCGGAGUUUGGCACCUCGAUGUCGGCUCAUCACAUCCUGGGGCUGUAGUCGGUCCCAAGGGUAUGGCUGUUCGCCAUUUAAAGUGGUACGUGAGCUGGGUUUAAAACGUCGUGAGACAGUUUGGUCCCUAUCUGCAGUGGGCGUUGGAAGUUUGACGGGGGCUGCUCCUAGUACGAGAGGACCGGAGUGGACGAACCUCUGGUGUACCGGUUGUCACGCCAGUGGCAUCGCCGGGUAGCUAAGUUCGGAAGAGAUAAGCGCUGAAAGCAUCUAAGCGCGAAACUCGCCUGAAGAUGAGACUUCCCU